UACGAAGGGGGCUAGCGUUGUUCGGAAUUACUGGGCGUAAAGCGUAUGCAGGCGGAUCGCUAAGUCAGGGGUGAAAUCCCGAGGCUCAACCUCGGAACUGCCUUUGAUACUGUCGAUCUUGAGUCCGGGAGAGGUGAGUGGAACUGCGAGUGUAGAGGUGAAAUUCGUAGAUAUUCGCAAGAACACCAGUGGCGAAGGCGGCUCACUGGCCCGGUACUGACGCUGAGAUACGAAAGCGUGGGGAGCAAACAGG
rnacentral:rRNA from 1 species